rnacentral:misc_RNA from 1 species
AAGUCGUAACAAGGUUUCCGUAGGUGAACCUGCGGAAGGAUCAUUCAUGUGAUUUCUUUAAACACCCAACCUUUUGUAAACUAUUAGUUAACACUAAAAAGUUUCUGUGUCUUUCUUUUGUUGGCUGCGUUUUCUUUCAUCUUCACUCUAUUUUCUUUGAAAAUAGGAAAAGAAAUGACAAAUGCUACCUUUAUUUUACCUUUAUAAACUACCACAAAACAUUUACCAUAAAAAACACCAAAACUAUUACAACUUUUAACGAUGGAUCCCUCGGCUCUCA